rnacentral:tRNA from 1 species
ACUAUUUUAGUUUAAUAAAGAAUUUGUAACUUGUAAUUACAGGGUUAAGAUAGUG